rnacentral:rRNA from 1 species
UACGUAGGGGGCAAGCGUUGUCCGGAUUUAUUGGGCGUAAAGAGCGUGUAGGCGGCUAUACAGGUCCGUUGUGAAAACUGGAGGCUUAACCUCCAGACGUCGAUGGAAACCGUAUGGCUAGAGUCCGGAAGAGGAGAGUGGAAUUCCUGGUGUAGCGGUGAAAUGCGCAGAUAUCAGGAAGAACACCCGUGGCGAAGGCGGCUCUCUGGGACGGUACUGACGCUGAGACGCGAAAGCGUGGGGGAGCAAACAGG